rnacentral:tRNA from 1 species
AUCUAAAUAGUUUAAAUUUAAAAUAUUGAUUUGUGAUGUCAAGGAUAUAGGAUAUUAUUUUAGGUU